rnacentral:rRNA from 1 species
UACGUAGGGGGCAAGCGUUGUCCGGAAUCAUUGGGCGUAAAGCGCGUGUAGGCGGUUCGGUAAGUCUGCUGUGAAAGUCCAAGGCUCAACCUUGGAAAGCCGGUGGAUACUGUGAGGCUAGAGUACGGAAGAGGCGAGUGGAAUUCCUGGUGUAGCGGUGGAAUGCGCAGAUAUCAGGAGGAACACCAAUUGCGAAGGCAGCUCGCUGGGACGUUACUGACGCUGAGACGCGAAAGCGUGGGGAGCAAACAGG